GACGAACGCUGGCGGCAGGCCUAACACAUGCAAGUCGAACGAGUGGCGGACGGGUGAGUAAUGUCUGGGAAACUGCCUGAUGGAGGGGGAUAACUACUGGAAACGGUAGCUAAUACCGCAUACCAUCGGAUGUGCCCAGAUGGGAUUAGCUAGUAGGUGGGGUAAAGGCUCACCUAGGCGACGAUCCCUAGCUGGUCUGAGAGGAUGACCAGUCACACUGAAGCGGAGACACGGUCCGGAAUCGUACGGGAGGCAGCAGUGGGGAAGAUUGCACAAUGGGCGCAAGACUGAUGCAGCCAUGCCGCGUGUAUGAAGAAGGCCUUCGGGUUGUAGAGUACUUUCAGCGGGGAGGCGUUACCCGCAGAAGAAGCACCGGCUAACUCCGUGCCAGCAGCCGCGGUAAUAC
rnacentral:rRNA from 1 species